CCUACGGGCGGCAGCAGUGGGGAAUAUUGCGCAAUGGGCGAAAGCCUGACGCAGCGACGCCGCGUGGGUGAAGGAGUGCUUCGGCAUGUAAAGCCCUAUCGGCAGGGAGGAAGCAAGACGGUACCUGAGUAAAAAUCCCCGGCUAACUACGGGCCAGCAGCCGCGGUAAAACGGGGGGCGCGAGCGGUAUACGGAUUAACUGGGUGUAAAGGGAUCGCAGACGGCCAGGCAAGACAGGGGUGAAAGCCCCGGGCCGAACCCCGGUACUGCCCUUGGGACUGGAUGGGUGGAGUCCGUGAGGGGCAGGUGGAAUUCCAGGUGUAGCGGUGAAAUGCGUAGAGAUGAGGAGGAACACCGGAGGCGAAGGCGGCCCGUUGGGACGCGACUGACGUUGAGGCGCGAAAGCGUGGGGAGCGAACAGGAUUAGAUACCCUUGUAGUC
rnacentral:rRNA from 1 species